AUGCCACACAGGCUUCCCCACUGCCGUGCUGUCGAAGAUUUGACCCUUGCCUCCUGUGUGCUGCCUUUGCACCUUUUAUUUCAUGGAGCAAAUGUGAAGGUUGUUGGUGCUUGGACUUUACCACUGGAGCUUGCAGAAGGUAAGAAUGAGUUAUCAUCCUGGGGGAAUGUCUUUUUUUUUUUUUUUUUUUUUUUAUACUGCUUCCAGUUAUCUAAGGCUUCCUCUAUUUGUCAAGCUGGCAUUUCCUGAAUAUUGUCUUCUCCCAGGUAUUCCAGAGAGGCAGCUGCCUGAGAAGACGAACCAUCGUGUGAGGAACCAAAUUCUAGCUCCUAGCUUGUCAUUCCUACUUAAGGAAAAAAAAAAUUAGCUGAACACAAUAAGCUCAAUAUUAAAACCUUCGUAAGAGUCUGGGGCAGGAAAAAAAAAAAUAUAUAUAUAUAUAUACACAUAUAUAGACUCUCCAGAAAUGGAGAAAAAAAAUGUCUCUAUAGCUAGUAGAUACAGCAGCUAGAUCUAAUGAUCUGUGACUGUCUGGGUGUCACUCUGAGUAAGGCAGUGCCAGGCAGUGGUAGAGACUGCGAGCAUCACUGAGAAAAUCACAGCUACAGGGACACCCACUUUGAUGCCUGUUUUUGGCAACUUUCCCCCUGAAAGCAGAGCAGCUGCUGCAGUGUGAAAGUCCUUGCUUGCAUCAAACUGCAACCACACCUGGUUCACAUGGCUCCCUUCAGCAAGGCACAAAGACUCGUGCUUAAUGUUUCCUUUACUUCUAGUAGGGCAAUCACUUGCCUAGCAGUCCUUUGUGGUAUUGCUCAUCAGUACAAGUAUGAAUUGAGGAGCAGCUGGUGAGGUAUGAUCAGACCUUGACUGUGCACAGCCCACUGAUCAUACUGAGCAAUUUUUAUAUUACCAGAGAAUUCUUUCCCAGGUAAGAAUAUUGCUGCUAUCCUACCGCUAUUCACCAUUUGGAGGGCACAGAGGGUUUGCUCAUUGGUAUAAUGGUAAAUGGAGCCUUUUUUGAACUGUCCAUUCACUAUGAAAUGUGUGGAAGUGUUCUGAAUAAGCAUCACAUACGUUCGUGCACAUCUGCAUUUUUAACGCUAUCAGAAAGCCAACUCUAGCAGUGGUAGGGAUAGACAAAGAUGCCAUGCACAUCGUUAAACACUAGGCGUCUCCCUUGGUGUAUUUAUUCAUCUCGGAGCUGUAGGGUGCCACUGUCCAAGGGAAAUGGAGUAGUUGUGAUAGCCAA
rnacentral:lncRNA from 1 species